GAUGAACGCUGGCGGCGUGCCUAAUACAUGCAAGUCGAGCGAACGGACGAGAAGCUUGCUUCUCUGAUGUUAGCGGCGGACGGGUGAGUAACACGUGGAUAACCUACCUAUAAGACUGGGAUAACUUCGGGAAACCGGAGCUAAUACCGGAUAAUAUUUUGAACCGCAUGGUUCAAAAGUGAAAGACGGUCUUGCUGUCACUUAUAGAUGGAUCCGCGCUGCAUUAGCUAGUUGGUAAGGUAACGGCUUACCAAGGCAACGAUGCAUAGCCGACCUGAGAGGGUGAUCGGCCACACUGGAACUGAGACACGGUCCAGACUCCUACGGGAGGCAGCAGUAGGGACUCGUCCGCAAUGGGCGAAAGCCUGACGGAGCAACGCCGCGUGAGUGAUGAAGGUCUUCGGAUCGUAAAACUCUGUUAUUAGGGAAGAACAUAUGUGUAAGUAACUGUGCACAUCUUGACGGUACCUAAUCAGAAAGCCACGGCUAACUACGUG
rnacentral:rRNA from 1 species